GACCCUUUACACUAUUGUGGAAAUCUGGGCUUUGCCCUCAGAUGAGAGUCAGGACGGCCCUACUGGUUCGUACCCUACGGACAGGGAUGGAGAUGGGAAUGCUUGACUGCGGUUGUGUUAGGAGGAUCUCACGGGGCGCGUGGAGAUUACUCAGGGUGUAUAGUUUUUGGUAGGAUGAUCAGAUUAGGAUGAUGUAUAGGGACUAGGGGUCCUUCUUUUUGGUUUGGAGUAUUUUAGUUCUGGAAAACUGUACUUAUACAAAUAUUAUCAGUUUUAUAUCAUCUUUGAAUGGGUUCCAUGUACCAUUUGAUGUUUAUGU
rnacentral:lncRNA from 1 species